AUGAUACAUCCGAGGGGACACGCGGGGUGGGGUUGGGGACAAAGGGGACAAAGGGGACAAAGGGAGGGUGGCCCCGGGGCGGGGUUUGCCAUCCGUGCUGCGGGAAGCACUUCCCGGGCGGCUCCUGCGUUUUCCAUGGAUUUUUGGGGUUUUUGUUUUCCCCAGAGUUAUCCGCUGUGGGGGAAAAUGGGAUCAGGAACAUCCUGGGCAGGCCGGGGAGGGUGGCUCGGUGUCACCCGCGUCACCCGUGUCACCCGUGUCACGCCUCACCUGGGGUUGUUCCUGGCGGCCAUGAGCUGCUCCAGCUGCUGCUGGUGCUCCUCCGGGGUCCACUUGCCUGGCGGGGAUGGGAUCCAUGGGAUUGGGAUCCAUGGGAUGGGAUUGGGAUCCAUGGGAUUGGGAAUUGGGAUCCGUGGGAUUGGGAAUUGGGAUCCGUGGGAUUGGGAAUUGGGAUCUAUUGCAUUGGGAAUUGGGAUCCGUGGGAUGGGAUCCAUGGGAUGGGGUUGGGAUCCAUGGGAUUGGGAAUUGGGAUCCAUGGGAUUGGGAAUUGGGAUCCGUGGGAUUGGGAAUUGGGAUCCAUGGGAUGGGGUCCAUGGGAUGGGGUCCAUGGGAUGGGGUCCAUGGGAUUGGGAUGGGAUUGGGAUGGGAUCCAUGGGAUUGGGAUCCAUGGAACUGGGAAUUGGGAUCCAUGGAACUGGGAAUUGGGAUCCAUGGGAUGGGAUGGGAUGGAAUGCAUGGGAUGCUAUGGGAUCCAUGGGAUGCUAUGGGACGGGCACCCAGGAUGGCACAAUGACCCCCCGAGUGUCCCCUGUCCCCACAGGGACUCACCCAGGGUCCCCAGGGUGGCACAGUGACCCCGCAGAGUGUCCCCUGUCCCCACAGGGACUCACCCAGGGUGGCCGGGUUCCUCAGCAGGUCCAGGUAGGGGCCGAGGCCGGGGAAGGCGCCCGAGCGGGCGGUGCUGCCCGGCCCCCGCAGGGCCGGCAUGUCCUGGGGACAGCGGGCAGGGGACAGGGUCAGCGGUGA
rnacentral:lncRNA from 1 species